rnacentral:rRNA from 1 species
AGAGUUUGAUCAUGGCUCAGGAUGAACGCUAGCGGCAGGCUUAAUACAUGCAAGUUGAGGGGCAGCAUGAUAUACGCGAGUAUAUUGAUGGCGACCAGCGGACGGGUGAGUAAAAGGUAGGAGACCUACCUCAUACAGGGGGAUAGCAUAGAGAAAUCUGUGGUAAUACCCCAUGAGGUUAUAUGAAUAGAGACAUAUGAUCAAAGUAUACGGAAGUAUGCGGUAUGAGAGGGGCCUACUGACCAUUAGCUAGUUGGUGAGGUAAGGGCUCACCAAGGCGAAGAUGGUUAGGGGUUUUGAGAGAGAGACCCCCCACAUUGGAACUGAGAGACGGUCCAGACUCCUACGGGAGGCAGCAGUAGGGAAUAUUGGGCAAUGGGCGCAAGCCUGACCCAGCCAUGCCGCGUGAAGGAAGACGGCCUUAUGGGUUGUAAACUUCUUUACUAUGCGAAUAGAGGUUAGUACGAGCUACUAAUAGGAAGGUAGUAUAGUAAAAAGCACCGGCUAACUCCGUGCCAGCAGCCGCGGUAAUACGGAGGGUGCAAGCGUUAUUCGGAAUUACUGGGUUUAAAGGGUGCGUAGGCGGUUAAAUAAGUUGUCAGUGAAAGGCUACGGCUCAACUGUAGUAGUGCUGGCGAUACUGUAUAACUAAGAACAUGGGAGGGGUACCUGGAAUGUGUGGUGUAGCGGUGAAAUGCGUAGAUAUCACACAGAACACCGGAGGCAAAGGCGGGGUACUAGACCAUAGUUGACGCUGAGGCACGAAAGCGUGGGGAUCAAACAGGAUUAGAUACCCUGGUAGUCCACGCCCUAAACGAUGAUCACUAGAUAUUGGCGACAGACAGUCAGUGUCCAAGCGAAAGUGAUAAGUGAUCCACCUGGGGAAUACGGCCGCAAGGUUAAAACUCAAAUGAAUUGACGG